rnacentral:lncRNA from 1 species
CUGUGUGUGCUGACGGACAGCCACAAACAGCCACGGACGUCCUAUGUGUGCUGGCGGACACCCACGGACGUCCUGUGUGUACUGAACAGACAGCCCACGUGGGACAAAAUCACCCAAACAGUCCACGGGAAGUGUAGAAACCCGUUAAAAAAAAAAAAAGAGAAAAGAGUGGUCGAGUAUCUUUGUGGUGGUCGAGUCGCGGGCGAUAAGGAUCGAUCGAGAAGUUUUGAAGUACGAGAAGGUCAAAGAAUGGAUUGUGAGUGAAGCUUGAGUUGAGAUAAGCUGCUCUACCAUUGUUAGAAAUGUCUUAGAUUGAUCAGACGGCAGUUUUGGAAGAAUCACAUUUUUGAAGCACGACGGUUUAGAAGCUCGACGUUUUUGAAGAUUGACGUUUCUUCAUUGCGAAGUUUUCUCGGAAUAUCUUCGUAUCAGUAAAAUAUUAUUCUAAAGACAUUAUAAGUCGGAAGCAGGACGGGAAUUAAGCAGGACGGGAAGCAAGCACGACGGGAUUGAAGCACGACGGAAAAACCAGAAGUUGGGCGAAAACCCUAAUUUCGGUAUUACAAAAUUCUUUGAGGAAGCCGGAGGCUCGGGAAAUAUUUUUAAAGGAUAUCAGACAUCAUCUGUAGUUUAUUAAAAAUAUUCAGAGAAUCA